GAAGGAUGACAUUCCAUAUUCCACUUAAGAACAAAAUUGUUUAUUCGAGAGUUAUGAUUUUUGGACGAUGUAUUAAACGUAGCUUAACACUCAAUUGUUACAAGAAUACAGUAAAAGUACCUAUUUUAACAAAGUACCUAUCAGAAGAUUAAAGAAGAUACACACAACUAACUUCUUAUAUAAUUAUAUUGGGAUCAAGAGAAAUAUUUAAUAAGGCAACUGUAUUCUGACAACGGGUAAAGCUACUGUCCAGCCCUACCGACCGAGUUCUAGCUAGAAUGAUGUAGAUUACACACCGGAGGUUGGUAAGAACUGAGGUUUGGAACCCUAACCUAAGUAGGCCUACCAGCGAAGCAACAGGUACUUGAUCGGGCGGGGGGGCGGUUUGGUUUCAAGGCCCUCGCAGCAGGAAGAAGCAGUUGUCAUUUGAAAGUAAAGGCUCUUCUCCUGUUUUACGAAUCCUACAACUCUCUUUACUGAGCGAGACUCCAUCCAUAUCCCUACUAGUGGUUUUUCUUUCAUUCAAUCAUCACUUGUUUGACAGCUUAAACUAGGCUCCACUUUAGAGAUAGGUUUUUGGUCUUAAUCAAAAUAGGUCAAGGGCGCGUCGGAACGGUCGGUAGCUGCUUAGUCUCAUCCGAGAGUUUAAUCUCCUUACUCCUUACUGCUUUUUUCAAAGAAAAAAAGAGGGGGGUCGAUUUAGGCUCCUUCCCU
rnacentral:lncRNA from 1 species